GAUCGCGACACGAACAUCGGGAGCUGAGACCCUAAAAUGCAAUUGAUGCAAAUUCAUGACCUCAAAAUAUUCUGCAGUACGCCUUAUUGUUGUCGUUUUCAUCUCGAGCUAUCCGCGACUUGAAAUCUGGCUGCUCUAGCCAGUAAUUCCGAAAUUUUUGCACUGUGCUUAACCAAAUGAUUCUGUUGCAUCCACAACCGAUCAACUGGAAAAACGGCCAACCAACUGGAAGGAUAUGACCUCGAUCCAGAAAAAGGACAAAUUGUCAUCACUGAUGCAAGUACAUGCAUAUAUUUAUAUAUGUACAAGCAUAUCAUAUUUUGGAAUCGAUUAAUCGCAAUUUAAAAG